UGCGACCCGCCCCCUUCCACCGAGCAUGCGCGGCCCGCGGCGUGCGGCGGCGACGAGCACGUUUCCGGACUUAGAAAAGGCAGGGGCUUCGGGCGUGAGCGAGAAUGAGAGACGUGACACAAGAGGUCCCAAGGGAGCAAACCUGAAAGCCAUCGCCUCCUGAACACACACUACCAGGGGGCGAGAUGACAUUAGCCACUAUGCCCAGAUAUAGGAAACAUCACUUCAGAUUGAGGCGCAGAUUGAUAGAUGAAGCAUAAAACAAGACCAGAUGCUGUGGCUUCCAGGAUGCACUUGGCUUCCCAUCCUUUAUAACCUGGAGCAUUUUUUUGCUUUCACAGGUCUCCAAAUGAAGAGGAGCAGCAUCUGAAAUGCCUCAUCUACAUCUGGGCCUAGUGCAUGUUACUAGAUCUUGGACCCAAGAACCAAUGCUAUACAGAAUGCUAAUUUUUGUGGAGGGAUUACUGUGUAAAGAAACCUGGGCUGGACCACUGAAUGAUGAGCCAUCACUUGAAGAGAGAGAGGCCCCAGCCAUUUCAGCUACCCCAGCUGAGGUGCCAGAUCUGUGGAUGAAGCCAUCUUGGACAUUACAGCCCCAGCCAAACCCACACAUGAGGGCAACCAGCUGACAUCAUAGGGAAACAGAAGAACUGUCCAGCUUUGCCCUUCCCAAACAUCAGGAUUGUGAGAAAAUAAAUGCUGGUGGUUUUUUUAAGCCACUAAAUUUAGGGUGUUUAUUAUGCAGCAAUAGAUAAUUGAAACAGUUGUCAUGUCAGGAUAUUUUCUUUUUCUUUAACUUUACUCCAUGGGCUGUGAAGAGGUUGUAACAGUGUUAGACAAAGAAGCCAAGUUUACAAGGGGACUACAUUCCAUAAAAGCUGGACCCUAUGCACCAUAGUCAUUGCUCUGUCCACAGAACUUAGCACAAUACUGGCACAUAAUGGUUCCCAAACAUUCGUUGAUUGAAUCAUUAAAUGAAUGAAGGCCACCUAUCAUAAAAAAGGUAGACAAAAAUAUACUUUAAAUAGAGUUUGUCCGUUGCAUUUUCUCUUUCAAAAAACUGCUCUUUGUUGUUAGAAAACCUGAUGCCUCAGAAGUCAGAGGGAUGUUCCAAAGGGAAAGAUUUGUAGGAGUGAGGCAAUGGCCAACCCUGACUCCUUCUCAAUGUCCUUCCUAUCCCUAGAUGAAAGAGGACUACUUGGAAGUACCUGGUAAAUGCCCCAAUACCUGCUGGUAUAUAAACAUUAUUAUCUUUUUCUAUUAUAGGAAGAUGGAAGAGUUAAAAAAAAAAGUAAAAUAUAUGUUCAGUAGGGCUAACUUUAGAUAUUAAGGAGUAGACUAGCCAAGAGCCCACAUUAGGUUGGAGACUAAAAUAGUCAAAGUGGUUUUGUCAUGUUAGGUCUUUUCUAUCAGUCUUUACUCCAAGUCACAAUUUCUGAAUGCCGCUUAGACAAAGUGAGUACCUAUUCUGUUUUGUGGUUCUCCCAGGAGUAACCAGCCCAACUCUUAUUUCUCUGAGGUGAUAAUUUCAUACUGUACACUUUUCUACUGAGAUUUGAAAGGAGACAUGAGUGUCAUCUGAAAUAUCUCCAGGAGAGAUGUAGGACAUGAAGAGCUUAUAAAAAUGGAAAUAAUUCUUUUAGGAUAUAGUUGCUGGUAUGAUCUUUAACAGAGUCUUCUGGAAAAAUGUCUCAGGCAAAAUCUUUUCAUUUAAAGGAACAGCAGUAUUUGUAAUUAGGUUAAAUGAAAUAAAUAAGGGAAAAGCCUUUGGUCCCUUGGAAGACUCAAACCUUUGAUAUGUUUUUUUCUAUUCCAUAUUAGUUAGAAAACAGUGGUUAAACAGAUAAAAAUAGAGAAGAUUGCUUAAAAUUUAAAGCCAUUGAAUUAGAUCUCUAUUUGAAAGGUCAGUAUGUGGGAGAUGAAAAAGGCAUGUAGUGAUCAGAGUGCCCAAAAGAGAUUUUACUAGCAGGACCGACAAAGAGUACAUCAACUAUUUAUAUCACCCACUUCAAGUUGCUGGUCAUUUCACUUAAUGAAAGAAAAUAAGAAAGGAAUUUUCUUUGGACAUUCUUUGAGUGUAGUAACAAUACAGUUUUGGAAUCAGCUGUUACAAACGAUAAUUAAAGCUAGUUUAUCAUGUUCACUAAUUAUUCUACAUAGUUAGUCUCCCUGAAGCUUUAUAUAAUUCUCCCUUUGUUACAAGCCUCUGUUUCUCCCUGGGGCAUUCUGAAUCCAGACAGGUAAAAAACUGAAGUGCUUGGAAACCAAUGUAUUGUAAUAACUGUUGAGCCAGGCAGAUAUUUGCAAUUGA